rnacentral:rRNA from 1 species
UACGUAGGGUGCAAGCGUUGUCCGGAAUUAUUGGGCGUAAAGAGCUCGUAGGCGGUCUGUCGCGUCUGCUGUGAAAACUCAGGGCUUAACCCUGAGCUUGCAGUGGGUACGGGCAGACUAGAGUGCGGUAGGGGAGACUGGAAUUCCUGGUGUAGCGGUGAAAUGCGCAGAUAUCAGGAGGAACACCGGUGGCGAAGGCGGGUCUCUGGGCCGUAACUGACGCCGAGGAGCGAAAGCAUGGGGAGCGAACAGG